rnacentral:snoRNA from 1 species
AUUUUCCUUGAGAAUUUCAUUUUUUAACUGCUGCUGGUAUUUAAAAAUGAAAUAAAAGUAAAUUCUUACAGAU